GUGCUAAGGUAGCAUAAUCAUUUGCCUCUUAAUUAGAGGCUAGUAUGAAUGAAUCAACAAGUAUUUGCUUUCUUUCUUUUAACCUUAUAAAUUAUCCUCUAGGUGAAGAGACCUAGAUUUAGUUAAAAGACAAGAAGACCCUAUCAAGCUUUAGUAAGCUAAUAUUUUAUAAUAUUAAUUUCUUUAGUUGGGGCGACAAGAAAUAAAACUUAUCAUUUCCUUAUAACUAGAUAUAUGUAUCUCACUAAUUAACUUAAAUAUAAAAAUAAGAAAGCUACUGCAGGGAUAACAGGCUAAUACUUUUUUAGAGCCCAUAUC
rnacentral:rRNA from 1 species